UGGGCAUCUCCAGCUGUCGUCCCUUGGGCAUCUGUCUUGUUUUAUUCCUUCCCUUGAUGAACGAAUGUGUUACUCAUCAAAUGCAUCUUCCAUUCUCUGCUGUUUUCUAGAGUGGUAAAAAUGCCUAAGAACAUUUAAAUAUGAUGAAAUCAACAAUUCCUUGACCUUCUUGCUUGAUGACUAAGAUCUGACUUCCUCCUACAGGCUUCUGAUAAUAUUAAUAUAUGGUUGGAACCAUGGGAUUACUUUGUUCUUGCCACUGUAAAUUUAGUGAUCUGGCUCCUGACCAGAUGUGAGUCUGGCCACUCAACAAGACUGGCUCCAAAUUGGAGUGUCUAUACCAUUCAUUGUUUUUCUUUCCUUCUCUGUGUUUUAAUCCUUUUAAAUGUAAUUAAUGUUGAUAAAAAUAUUCACAUAUACUAUAAAAUGUAUACUCUUAACCAUUUAAGUGUAUACAUAUUUUGAGCUAUUGAUGUUAAACUGCCAAUUGAUUCCUGAGCUGUUGCCAUGCCCUUAGCAUCUAACCACACUUAUAUUUCCUCUGUGUAGUUCAUAGAUCACCUUUAGUAUCCUGUUUCUUCUCUAGAUAUAACUCGUGAUUUUUCUCUGAGACCAUGAGAGAUAUUUAGCCCUGUAUAUGGAGUGCUUUAGUAAAUGGGGCCUUAAAACUACCUAUUUUACCAAGUGCAAAAUACAAGGUGGAAUUUUCUUUUUACUCCACCUCCCAAAAUUUCAGAUUCAAGUUAACAAGAUGACUGAGAUAAUAAGUUACUAAAGUCCUAAACUAUACUUCAUGCCGGAAUGGCCUAGUAUACCUUUCUACUAUUGUUGGAAUUCUACCUGUCUGUCCAACUUCAGAACCCAGCUUAUAACUUUAUUUUCCAAUCUUCCCUCUGUCUAAAGUCUCUUCCAAGUAGUAAAGCCCCAGUCAAGAUCUCUAGAAAUAAAUCUUCACAAUCUCUCAAAGCUGUCUUAAACCCAUGAAGUUUCAUUUUCUUUAUCAUUCUAGCCCUUAUAUUAUAACUAGAUGUUUUUCAAACUUCUUUUUUCAUUAUAAUUAUUCAUACGAGAUAUUACAAUGUUAAGAGUUAAAGUAAGUUAGGUAAUACUGGAUUCAAUGCUUUUUUCCAUAAAGGGAGGAAACGAGGACCACAAAAUGUGGCAUGAAGUUGAGAGUAAAGACAGGAAUGGCUUGAGACCUGUUUGCUUUCUGCCUCUGUUCUACUUCAUAGCCCGUAGUCAUCCAUUAGUGUUAUGGAGUUGAAUUAUGUACCGUCCUCUCCAAGACAUGUUGGAGUCCAAACUGCUUGUCUCAGAGAGUGACUUCAUUUGGAAGUAAAUUCGUGACAGAUGUAAUUAGUUACAAUGAGGUCACACUUGAGUAGAGUGGGUCCUUAAUGCAGUGUGAGUAAAUUUCUUAGAAGAACGAUGCUGUGAAAAGCUGAAGGUAGAGAUGUACCCGAAGCUUCGCACCUUAGGGCACCAGAGAUGAGCAGCAGAAGCUAGCACAGGGAUCCCUCCUUGGGGUUCAGAGACAGUGUGUCUCCACGAACACUUUGAUUUCAGGCCUCUUACCUGCAUAAUUACGAGAUAACAAGUGCCUUCAGUUUUAAGCCACUCAGAUUAUGGUACUUUGUCAUGCAAUCUUAGAAGACGAGGGGAACUGGGGUUGCAGAAGGCAGUAGUAUCCAAAGUGUCUGGAUUUGUUAACUUGUUCUUUUGGGUCCACUUCUUGACUUUCCCGGGAUUUAGUUUCUCUCCCCAAGAGUGGAUACAUCAGUACUUGCUUCCUAAGGCGAACAAGGACUCCAUGCCUUUCAAAAUCAUUUUCUGUUACUUUGCUCCCCCCUUUUUUGUUUUAUUGGGACUGUUAGUGUAUGAACAAUUUCAUGUAUCUCAUAUUCAUAUAUAUAUAUAUCUCUCAUAUAUAUAUAUAAGGAAUGCUUUUGUUGCAGGUGAUUGGGUCCUGGCCAGGUGCUUCCAGAUUCUUCCAAAGAAUUUACAGUAAAGGCUCAUACAAAGUUGUCCAAGUAGUAAAGAUAACUUUAUUGGGAAACAAAUGAUAGAUCAGAUUAGCAAGAGAUAGACUGGCAAGGUUGAAAGCUAGCCACAUGUGCAAGUACCCUCAGGCAGUGGUUCUCAACCUUCCUAACGCUGCCAGCCUUUACUACAGCCCCUCGUGUUGCGGGGACCCCCAACCAUACGAUCAUUUUUGUUGCUACUUCCUAACUGUAACUUUGCUACUGUUAUGAAUCAUAAUAAAAAUAUCUGAUAUGCAAAGAAUCUUAGUUAAUCCCUAUGAAAGGAUCAUUCACCACCCAAAGGGGGUUGCGACCCACAAGUUGAGAACCCCUGCUCUAGGGCCUCAGGUCAUAAAUAGUCCGAGGUCUUUUUUUUUUUGGUAGAUUUUAAAAAAAGGAGGGGCAGGUUACUAAGGGUCACAGUUUGAGCGGUUUCCUAUUUUGAUUGAUAAAGUCGUAUAUUCACUUUUCCUGCUGCAAACAUCCCUUCCUGUAGCGUAUUUGAUUUUAAGUGUAGGCACACAUAAUUUACACAUAGACCUACGAUGAAUAGGGGAUUUACUUGAAACGUUCAUUUGAGAGAUUCAGUUUGUCUGGCUAUGCACUCAGAACCAUUUCAGGCUGGGAUGGCCCUUCCACUGUUCAUACAGGAUACAAUGGGAGUACGUGUGGAUGGAAAUUCUCUAAACUUGACAGAUGUUAAGGGCAGGAAAAUACAUAGUUUUGCUCAGAGAGGGGUGUGUGUAGCCCGAGGCAUUGUUGAGGUUGCCAGGUUUAUUGUCUGGAGAUGGAUGCAGUAUGUCCACAUAAGAACACAUAAAGGAGGCAGGCUUCCAAGUGCACUGCUACAAGGAUAGUGCUGUGCGCAGCCCAAACCGGAGUCCUGGGUUAGUAAGCUUUCUCUCUGUUUCCCUGCCUUACUCUUCCCAAUCUCUCUUAUCCCCUUUUCCACCUCUCCAUCAGUGAAUUUGUACCUUCAGCAGACUUAUUCUACUGAAAACUGGACUUUACUGUAUAAACUAUUACUGUAUGUCAUAGUUUAACUGGAUUUGACGGAAGGGUCUUUAAAGCUGUCAGCAAACCAAGGGGCAUGUGUCUACCCUGAGUAGGGUGGGCUGCCUGAUGGGCAUUCAAUGCCUGUGGGUUGCUCAGAGCUAGUUGAUUUGUAGUCACUUAAAAUUUUUAUAACAAAAUAUACUAAUGGUAAAAGCAUUGUUAAUUCU
rnacentral:lncRNA from 1 species